rnacentral:rRNA from 1 species
GAUGAACGCUGGCGGCGUGCCUAAUACAUGCAAGUCGAGCGAACAGACGAGGAGCUUGCUCCUCUGACGUUAGCGGCGGACGGGUGAGUAACACGUGGAUAACCUACCUAUAAGACUGGGAUAACUUCGGGAAACCGGAGCUAAUACCGGAUAAUAUAUUGAACCGCAUGGUUCAAUAGUGAAAGACGGUUUUGCUGUCACUUAUAGCUGGAUCCGCGCCGCAUUAGCUAGUUGGUAAGGUAACGGCUUACCAAGGCAACGAUGCGUAGCCGACCUGAGAGGGUGAUCGGCCACACUGGAACUGAGACACGGUCCAGACUCCUACGGGAGGCAGCAGUAGGGAAUCGUCCGCAAUGGGCGAAAGCCUGACGGAGCAACGCCGCGUGAGUGAUGAAGGUCUUCGGAUCGUAAAACUCUGUUAUUAGGGAAGAACAAAUGUGUAAGUAACUAUGCACGUCUUGACGGUACCUAAUCAGAAAGCCACGGCUAACUACGUG